rnacentral:rRNA from 1 species
GGUAGCCGGCCUGAGAGGGCGACCGGCCACACUGGGACUGAGACACGGCCCAGACUCCUACGGGAGGCAGCAGUGGGGAAUAUUGGGCAAUGGAGGGAACUCUGACCCAGCGACGCCGCGUGCGGGAUGAAGGCCUUCGGGUUGUAAACCGCUUUCAGCAAGGAAGAAGCGAAAGUGACGGUACUUGCAGAAGAAGCACCGGCUAACUAUGUGCCAGCAGCCGCGGUAAUACAUAGGGUGCAAGCGUUGUCCGGAAUUAUUGGGCGUAAAGAGCUCGUAGGUGGUUCGUCACGUCGGAUGUGAAAAUCUGGGGCUUAACCCCAGACCUGCAUUCGAUACGGGCGAGCUAGAGUGUGGUAGGGGA